AUGCUUAUUUAUAGCACAUUAUGCUUCAGUUACGUUUCUUGCUCUAUUGGAACGUAUUUAUCUGUACCUGUAUUAGCGUAUAUGUAUAUAUGCGACCUGGAGCAGACGCUGGACACCCUCCCUCAGCUCACGCCGCCAAUAAAAGCCCCCAGAAGACAGCUUGUCGCCUCUUGGUGCCACACACCACCACCCAGCCCCUCACAGGGGAAGGAGCGGGGACGACGGCGCCGCCAACGGUCCCUAACGGUCGGCCAACGGUCGGCCAACGGCCGCGGCGCGCGCCCCGUGAGGCGGCGGCAUGGCGCGAGGCGCGGUGGUGCGGGUGCGGCAGGGCCCGGCCUGGCGCCACGGGCUGCCGCAGGACGGCGCCGCCCGCCUGCAGGGCCUGCGAGCUGUCCUGCAGGCAGAUGGGCACCAGCUGAUUCUAGAGGAGAUACCAGACUGGAAUACUGUAGAACUCAUAGUAAAUGGGGAGACUGUAUUUCGCUGCAACAUCAAUGACCUGGAUUUUGGAGGUGAUGGCAAGUUGGAUCCACUCUGUGAAGAAGCCAGAAAAGCAGUGUUAAAUGCUUACUAAUUUAUAGGUUCACAGUGCUUACUGAUUUAUAGGUUCACAUUCUCUUUUACCCUUGUUUUUCUGCCAGGCAAUUUGCUUGCAUCACAAAAGUAUUAGAAAUUUUACAAUAUAGUUGUCUCUUCAUGCUUCUGUCUCUCUUAAUGUGUCAUUCAGACAGGAAUAUACAUCCUUUUCCAGAGCCAGUCAUGUGUUACCACCCUGAAUGUCACAAACUCAUAUAGAACUGUGACUAACAAGUAGUUCAAAUAGUUUGAUUUUAAUUAAAAGAAGAAUGAAAUUCCUGGACAUCUUGCAUUAUUUCAACUUUCAUGGAGUUUCCUAUGUUAAAGAUAGUCAUUUCAAAUUUAAUAGCUGCUGAUCAAUCCAUACAUACUCACACAAAUGUGCCAGUUUCACUUUUCUCUUGGCCGCAAAUAUUCCAGAGAACGUUGUUAUAUCUUUAGACACAGCCCAAGGGUACAGAGAGAAGAAAGCUGGCAUGAUUAUAAGGGCAGGGUUAAAGCUGUCUGCAGUUACCAUUACCAAUAUUCCAGGUAUCAGAAAAGUAACACUGCUUUUUCCUCCCUUUUUUCCCCCCUUGAUAACUAGAUUAUGAGGCUACUAUUUUGUUCCUGAUUUAUCUACAUACACCCUCAACCUCAGUUAAAACCUACUUCUGGUCAAGGUGAAUCCAACAGUUUGCAAGCAGCCAUAUGUUCAGGACACCAGUGCUCUGACAAUUUUCAACUUGACCCAUAUUUAGUUUAUGAAAGAAAGUGGUUAGUUUUUGCAUUCUAACGUAGUUGUAUGAACAGAGAAACACAGCAUACAUUGAGGCUAAGGAGUGCUAGGCAGCUGCAGUUUCUAAUAGGGCUUCAGGCAAGACCAUCUGACCAUUACAGAGCCAAAGACAAAUAAAUCCUAGCACUCACAAUAACUCCUGUAAGCUGCAAGAAGGUAG
rnacentral:lncRNA from 1 species